rnacentral:lncRNA from 1 species
GUGGGACAGCCCUCCCACUUCGGCAUGUACCCUGAACAGAAAAAAAAAAACAACACACAAUGCACCCAUGAAAACAUUUCUUAGAGCCACAGGGACACCACAUGGGUUGAGGACAAAAUGCUGCGUAGUUCUGACAUUCAGAAAUAAAUCUUUUUAACAUUUGCCAUUAUAAGCUCGGUCACUGAAGCAAAACUCCCAUUAUUCAUCCAUCUCCACGCCAGCAUCUGCAGAGGGAUUGCGACAGAAGUGUAGCGAGGGCCAGCCCACACCAUUCGUCUUACAAAAAUGUUAAUGAGAAAAAAAAAGAAAGAAAAAGUGCUAGUGAGGAUGAAGAAGAAGAGAAAGUUGCACAGAUUUUGAUAAAGUCCUCGUUUGCUUUUUCAAGACAUACCCUGUUGCGGAGAAAGUGUCAUCGUGCAGUAGAGCCCAUCUCUAUUAAAUCUGUGCUGGACAGGGAGGUCUGCCUGAAAAGAAGCCAGAUUUAUGACUCCCUGGUUACUGAUGUUCAUCUGGGUCAGCUCUUCCUUCACUUUUUCUUUUGUUCCUGGCCCCUGUGCUGUGUGCCAGACUCUGAGCUGAUUUCCAGCCCUGCCCUGCCUCACUGGAGUCUUACGAAUCCGUUCCGAAUUAGGACAAAGUUUGUUGUGCUCUGUUUUUGCAAACGCUGCCUCUGGCUCCCUUACAACGCAGCGUCACUGCCCAUCAGUGCUGAAUGCCAUCAGGAGAUGUGUUCAAACAGGCGACAGCCCCAGAUGGUACAAUAA